CGGGGGACAACAUUUGGAAACGAAUGCUAAUACCGCAUAAAAACUUUAAACACAAGUUUUAAGUUUGAAAGAUGCAAUUGCAUCACUCAAAGAUGAUCCCGCGUUGUAUUAGCUAGUUGGUGAGGUAAAGGCUCACCAAGGCGAUGAUACAUAGCCGACCUGAGAGGGUGAUCGGCCACAUUGGGACUGAGACACGGCCCAAACUCCUACGGGAGGCAGCAGUAGGGAAUCUUCGGCAAUGGACGAAAGUCUGACCGAGCAACGCCGCGUGAGUGAAGAAGGUUUUCGGAUCGUAAAACUCUGUUGGUAGAGAAGAACGUUGGUGAGAGUGGAAAGCUCAUCAAGUGACGGUAACUACCCAGAAAGGGACGGCUAACUACGUGCCAGCAGCCGCGGUAAUACGUAGGUCCCGAGCGUUGUCCGGAUUUAUUGGGCGUAAAGCGAGCGCAGGUGGUUUAUUAAGUCUGGUGUAAAAGGCAGUGGCUCAACCAUUGUAUGCAUUGGAAACUGGUAGACUUGAGUGCAGGAGAGGAGAGUGGAAUUCCAUGUGUAGCGGUGAAAUGCGUAGAUAUAUGGAGGAACACCGGUGGCGAAAGCGGCUCUCUGGCCUGUAACCGACACUGAGGCUCGAAAGCGUGGGGAGCAAACAGGAUUAGAUACCCUGGUAGUCCACGCCGUAAACGAUGAGUGCUAGAUGUAGGGAGCUAUAAGUUCUCUGUAUCGCAGCUAACGCAAU
rnacentral:rRNA from 1 species